GAACUUCCAGUCUUAGCCAGGGGUCCCAUGGAGAGGGAAGUAGAGGAAGGCCAUGAGGAAAAGAGAAAAGAUGUUCGCAAUGUUAGCGAUACCACGUGAAGAGACCAGAGGAGGCUAUGAGGCAGUGGGGGAAUCCUGAUGAGCAGGCUGCCAGGGGAUUCACAUAAGGACACAAUUGGAGCAAAGCAAGCCAAGUGUUGAAGCCUGGGCUCUCCCUCAAACUUGCUGUGUAGCCAGUGUACUAGUCUGCUGCCGCUUUGCUGUAAUAAGACAUGACCAAGAGUAACGUGGAGAAGAAAGGUGUGUUUUGUUUUGUUUGUUUGUUUGUUUUUCAUCCUUUGCUUUCAAAUGACAGCCCAAUAUCCAAGGAAGCCAAUGCAGGAACCUGAGAGCAAGAGCAGAAGCUGAGUGCAUGGUUGAAUACUGUUCCCUGGUUUACUCUCAAGCUCACGGUGAGAUCCCUUUCUUCUACAGUCCAGGUCUACCUGCCCAAGGAUGGAACUGCCCAUGAUGCGCUGGCCUCUCCUGUGUCAAUUAGUGGUCAAGAAAAUGCACAAGUCCACAGAACUAUCCAAUGGAAGCAGUUUUUCAGUUGAGGUUCCUUCUUCCAGAAGUGUCAUGUUAAAAACAAAACUAGCCAGAACAGCC
rnacentral:lncRNA from 1 species